rnacentral:tRNA from 1 species
GCUGGCGUAACUCAAUGGCAGAGUGUCAGCUUCCCAAGCUGACACUCGCGAGUUCGAGCCUCGUCGCCCGCU